AGAAGUUAAGCCUUUAUUUCCUUGUUUUGUAAAUAAAGCUGGCUGAGUUGGUUGUUUUUUGAUGAUUAGUCAAAGAGACCAAAUCCCAUAUCCUCACCCAGCUCCUCCACCUCUUCCUUGGCUUCAACCUUAGCUGGGGCUGCAGCAGCGGGAGCAGCCGUGGUGGCAACAGCCACAGAGGCAAUAGCCACAAAUGCAGAUGGAUCAGCCAAGAAGGCCUUGACCUUUCCAGCAAGUGGGAAGGUAUAAUCAGUCUCCACAGAGCCAGGGCUCAUUUGUACCCACUGAUGAUAGAAUGGGGUACUGAUGCAACAGGUGGGUAGCCAGUCUGCAGACAGACACUGGCAACAUCGCGGACAACCUUCAGGAAGCAAGAAGGAAGUUUCCUCUGUGAUGUCAAGCACUUCAGGGUUGUAGAUGCUGCCAUUGUCAGAUGCCUGCUGGAUGACCAGCGCAAAGGAGGAGGGAGAAAUGCUCGGCGUGUUCAGCAGCGUGGCUUUGUUGGCUCCCACUUUGUCUCCAGUCUUGAUCAGCUGCACAUCACUCAGGAUUUCAAUGGUGCCCCUGGAGAUUUUAGUGGUGAUUCCUAAAGCCUGGAAAAAGGAGGUUUUCUCUGGCCCCAGACCAGUGUUCUGGGCUGGCACAGUGACUUCACAUGGGGCAAUGGGACCAGCACAGGUGCCCUCAGAUGGCCGUGAGCAUCAUGGUGUUCUUGUCCAUCAGCACCACGGCCUUCUCUCAGAGGGACAUGCAGAUCUGCUGCGUCUGCUUGGAGCCCACAUUGCUGCUCCCACGAUGAAACAUUUUGGAUAAUCAUCCAAAAGCUGGAUGAUCUUGAAGUAGUUGGACUUCCAGGUCAUCCUGUCUUCCCUGGGCAUCACGGCAGUGCAUCAGGGAUUGCCACGCAGGGUUUAAAGACAAUGUCACUUUCACGAG
rnacentral:lncRNA from 1 species